UGGUGUAGCUCAGCAGGCAGAGCAACUGACUUGUAAUCAGUAGGUCGGGGGUUCGAUUCCCUCCACC
rnacentral:tRNA from 1 species